GAUGAAGAACGUAGUGAAAUGCGAUACGUAAUGUGAAUUGCAAAUUCAGUGAAUCAUCGAAUCUUUGAACGCACAUUGCGCCCCUUGGUAUUCCAUGGGGCAUGCCUGUUCGAGCGUCAUUUGUACCUUCAAGCUCUGCUUGGUGUUGGGUGUUUGUCUCGCCUCUGCGUGUAGACUCGCCUCAAAACAAUUGGCAGCCGGCGUAUUGAUUUCGGAGCGCAGUACAUCUCGCGCUUUGCACUCAUAACGACGACGUCCAAAAGUACAUUUUUACACUCUUGACCUCGGAUCAGGUAGGGAUACCCGCUGAACUUAAGCAUAUCAAUAAGCGGAGGA
rnacentral:misc_RNA from 1 species